CCUACGGGGGGCAGCAGUGGGGAAUAUUGGACAAUGGGGGCAACCCUGAUCCAGCCAUGCCGCGUGUGUGAAGAAGGCCCUCGGGUUGUAAAGCACUUUCAGUGAGGAAGAACGCCUGGUGGUGAAUACCCAUCAGGAAAGACAUCACUCACAGAAGAAGCACCGGCUAACUCCGUGCCAGCAGCCGCGGUAAUACGGAGGGUGCGAGCGUUAAUCGGAAUUACUGGGCGUAAAGCGCGCGUAGGUGGCUUGAUAAGCCGGUUGUGAAAGCCCCGGGCUCAACCUGGGAACGGCAUCCGGAACUGUCAAGCUAGAGUGCAGGAGAGGAAGGUAGAAUUCCCGGUGUAGCGGUGAAAUGCGUAGAGAUCGGGAGGAAUACCAGUGGCGAAGGCGGCCUUCUGGACUGACACUGACACUGAGGUGCGAAAGCGUGGGUAGCAAACAGGAUUAGAUACCCCUGUAGUC
rnacentral:rRNA from 1 species